rnacentral:rRNA from 1 species
UGGGGAAUAUUGCACAAUGGGCGAAAGCCUGAUGCAGCGACGCCGCGUGAGGGAUGACGGCCUUCGGGUUGUAAACCUCUUUCAGUAGGGACGAAGCGCAAGUGACGGUACCUGCAGAAGAAGCACCGGCUAACUACGUGCCAGCAGCCGCGGUAAUACGUAGGGUGCGAGCGUUGUCCGGAAUUACUGGGCGUAAAGAGCUCGUAGGCGGUUUGUCACGUCGUCUGUGAAAUCCUAGGGCUUAACCCUGGACGUGCAGGCGAUACGGGCUGACUUGAGUACUACAGGGGAGACUGGAAUUUCUGGUGUAGCGGUGGAAUGCACAGAUAUCAGGAAGAACACCGAUGGCGAAGGCAGGUCUCUGGAUAGUAACUGACGCUGAGGAGCGAAAGCAUGGGUAGCGAACAGG